rnacentral:tRNA from 1 species
GCGCUCGUAGCUCAGCUGGACAGAGCAGCCGCCUUCUAAGCGGCAGGUCGAAGGUUCGAACCCUUCCGGGCGCG